rnacentral:rRNA from 1 species
UACGUAGGGGGCAAGCGUUGUCCGGAAUCAUUGGGCGUAAAGCGCGUGUAGGCGGCUUGGUAAGUCUGCUCUGAAAGCCCGGGGCUCAACCCCGGGAGGCGGGUGGAUACUGCUGAGCUCGAGUCCGGAAGAGGCGAGUGGAAUUCCUGGUGUAGCGGUGAAAUGCGCAGAUAUCAGGAGGAACACCAAUGGCGAAGGCAGCUCGCUGGGACGGUACUGACGCUGAGACGCGAAAGCGUGGGGAGCGAACAGG